UCUAUACGCUUUGCGAGUUUUUUUUUUUAUACUGGUUAUGGUGGGGAUUUACUAGAUCUAGAGCUAGGGUUUGGAUUUCAGAAGAUUGAAGUGAGAAGAUGCUUUUUCCUUUUCCAUUUUUCUUUGCAUUCAUGUUAUAUAUUUUCUGCUUCUCCGAAGAUUUCAGUAUUGGGUAGUUGUACUGUUUAGGGUUUGAGAUAUGUUGUUUUUGUUCUUCGAUUCAUUGCAGUUUUCUUGAUUUUGUAUUGUUUUAGGGCUUGAGAUCUGUUUCAGUGGUUCCUAAGGGCCUGUUUGGAUGCCUGUAAGUUGGGUAAAAUGUAAAUGACUUACAGGGAAGUCAAUUACAGGUGGUGUUUGGGGGAGGAAAUUCACCUGUAACCUGUAAGUCACUUACAGGCAAAUCUUCCAGGAAACUGCAGGGGGCUGGGGGUGAGAAGUCACUUCCCUGUAAGUGACUUACAGGCUCAACGUUUGGAUUUUUGAAAAGAGGGAAAGGGGGAGAAAUGCACCAACAGUCUACCUGCAAUCAGCUCCAAUUUCUCUCUCUCUCUCCGUCUCUGCAAUCAGCUCUCUCUCUACACCUCUCUCCGGUUGCUAGGGUUACAAGCUUCUUUUUUUUCUUGCUUUUGAAUCCGCCCGAUUCGGUGAGGCCAUGACAGUGGGGCCCACCUUAUGUAUUGAUAUAUCCACUGUCCAUCACUUCUGCAAUCUUGUUUUAGGGCUUGGGCCAAAAAAUGAGGCAAAUCCAAAUCUCAGGUGGGUCACAUCACGGGAAACAGUGAUGAUUGAACGUCCACCAUUAAAGACUACAUAGGGCCCAUUGUUAUGUUUAUUUGCCAUCCAACCUGUUGAUAAGGUCACACAUACGUAGAUAAGGGAAAACAUAAAUAUAAGCUUGAUCCAACUCUUUUGCGGCCCACAAGAAAUUCUAUUGGUGGGCAUUCAAUUACCGUUGUUUCUUGUGGUGUGGCUCAUCUAAGAUUUGGAUUAUUAUUAUUAUUAUUAUUUUAUCGGGCCAUACCUCAUAAUGAACUGUUGAAACAUACAUCAAGGCGGGUCCCAUGGUCCAGUCCAUCAUGGUGGACCAUUGCUCUUAUAUUUUUAAUUUUUAUUAUUUAGCCAUUGCCCAUUAAGAUGGACCAUUUUUAUUUUAUUAAACCAUCUUGUGUGUGGUCCCAUAAAUUAUACAAUGAUUAGGCUCUAUUAAGGCUUUCAGGAUUGGCGUUGAGUGAGAAAGACGAGUUGCUUCCAACAAUUCGAAUCAUAUACGAUCCAACUCUAUAAAUGAGUUGUUAUCAACCUUUGCUUAUAGAGUUCUGGCUGAUCUAAUAUCUUCAAUGGCCUCAAAAGAAUCCAUAGUCUCUUUGUGGGAUGUUUCUUUAGUGUGUUGCACUAUUUUCUUAUAGCCAUUCUUCUUGUUGUAAAUCCGGCAAAGAACCCAAUCAUCUAGCUACAACAAAAAGAUUUCAUAGCGAGCGCAAUUAAAAUUUUCCAAUUGUUUCCUAUCAAUUCUUAUACUAAGUUAUUGCUCUAUAUUAUAGGUAUUUUGAAUUAGUGGGCCCACUUUUAUGGCUAACUUGAUGAGUGUUUUAGCUUAAGAAUUGGCUUAAACAUUUAUCUAGAUGGGCCUAACAAAAUUGUAUAUUUGGUGCCAAGUUUUUUUUUUUUUUUAAUGUAAUCAUAACAUAUUGGAAUGAUUCCCUACGCUAAACUUUGUUCGAUGUGAAUAUAAAGCUUCUUACCUGUAAAUAACUUAUAGGUUACCCAAACAUAAAAACCAACUUACCUGUGAGUGACUUACAACCUACAUCCAAACAGGAUUACCUGUAAGUGACUUUCACAUGUAAGUGACUUACCUGUAAUUCACAACUUAAAGAACUUACAGGCAUCCAAACAGGCCCUAAGGCGUUUCAAUUCGUUGCUAUGGAUAUUUUUUCCCUUUUUCAUUGAGAUUUGCUAGAUCUAGAGAUAGGGUCUGCGUUUCGAAAGAUUAAAAUGAGACUCGUGUUCGAAUCCCUCUCCAAGUUCUCUCACUUCUCCAUCCUGAUGUUGCUCUUGUUAGAAGGCUACCUUUUGAAUGAUAGAGACAGAGCAAUGUCUAUGGGUUUGGAGUUUUGCUGCUGGAGCUCUUAACUGGGCUGAAACCUUUUGACAGUACCUGCCUGCUCAGUUUAUUACUCAAAAAACUCCCUUUCAAAUUCAGGUUAUUGAAACCAACCAAGAUUCCAAACCCCGCCCUUCUUCAACCUUAGUUGCAGGAUCCUUGUAAUAGGUGCCGCUCCUGCUUCGAAUCAUGCUUCAGACUCCUGUUCAUGUCCCACUUCCUAGACAUUUACACUUGAUAACAUUUGCGGACAGACGCUUCCCUGCUCCUACAUCUGAAUCUGUUGUCUUGCUUGCCUCACGCUUCAUGCAACCAUAUUUCCGCCACGCCACCAGUCUAUGAAAAGAUACUCUUGCUUGGUCUUGCUUAAUUAUAUUCAGAAAGUUCAAAAAAUUGUACUGGAUGCAUUUAGAGAAAUCAUAAUACUCACAAAGUACAAAUGGUUGAAGUUGCCAUCAUUGAAAGUCUAACCGGUCUUUGAUAUGGAGGAAUGUUAUAAACGUUGAUGGUCAAUGUUAUGUUGAAUGUAAUUUGAGAAUGUGUUCCCAAACUUAUAUUUGAUUCCUUUCCUUGCGUGUGCUUGCAUUUCUUGCA